rnacentral:lncRNA from 1 species
AUUCUCCCACUCUCAACUUGGCUAUCCUUUCCACCUCUCUUUGUCCUCCUGGGCCCCAUCUCUCUGUCUCCUCUUCCUCUUGCCCCCUCCCCACCCCUUGAUGCCCUGUCUCCACAGCCUCCUCCUUACCCCUGGGGCCCCUCACCCUGCUGCCCCCUCCCCACUCCUGGGUGGCCUCUCCCUACAGACCCCUCCCACUCCUGGGGUGCCCUCUUCCUGCAGCAGCCCUCUCCUACCCCUAGGUCCCCUCUCCCUACAGCUCCCUCCCAACCCCUAGGUUCCCUCUCCCUGCAGCCCCCUCCCCACUUCUGGGGACCCUCUCCCUGCAGCAGCCCCCUCCCUAACCCUGCGGCCCCUCUCCCUGCAGCCCCUUCCCCAUUCCUGUGUGCCUUGUCUCAGCAGCAGCAGCCCCCUCCCCAUCCCUGGGUGCCCUCUCUCUGCAGCCCCCUCCCCACUCCUGGGUGCCCUCUCCCUGCAGCCCCCUCCCAUCCCUGGGUACCUUCUCUCUGCAGCCCCUCCCCACUCCUGGGUGCCCUCUCCCUGCAGCAGCCCCUCCCCACUCCUGGGUGCCCUCUCUCUGCAGCAGGCCCCUCCCCACUCCUGGGAGUCCUCUCUCUCUGCAGCCCCUUCCUCAUCCCUGGGUCCCCUUUCUCUGUAGCACCCUCGCCAUCCCUGGGUCCCAGCAACCCCCUCCCCAUCACUGGGUCCCCUACCCCUGCAGCCCCCUCCUCAUCCCUGGGUGUCCUCUUCGUGCAGCAGUCCCCUCCCUACGCCUGGGUGCCCCUCCCCACUCAGUCCCCCAUGUCAUCCUUCCCCCUCGACCCCCCGCCGCAGCUCGCCCCGUCACCUGGGCGGGGGUCCGGGCCAGACUCCCUGGGCUCCGCGGGGCCAGGCUGGGCCGGGCCGGGCCGGACUGGGCUGGGACGGGCUGGGCUCGUUGGGCUCGGUUCGGCUCGCCUCGUCCCGUUCCCUCCUCCCUCCCGCCCGCCCCCCCCUCCGGUUCCUCUCUCCCCCCUUUCCCUGCUCCCCCCGUUUUUGUUUUUUUUUUUUUUACUCCAACACACAAAAUGGUGA